UUUUCCGCAAUGGGCGAAAGCCUGACGGAGCAACGCCGCGUGAGGGAGGAAGGUCUUUGGAUUGUAAACCUCUUUUCUCAAGGAAGAAGUUCUGACGGUACUUGAGGAAUCAGCCUCGGCUAACUCCGUGCCAGCAGCCGCGGUAAUACGGGGGAGGCAAGCGUUAUCCGGAAUUAUUGGGCGUAAAGCGUCCGCAGGUGGUCAGCCAAGUCUGCCGUCAAAUCAGGUUGCUUAACGACCUAAAGGCGGUGGAAACUGGCAGACUAGAGAGCAGUAGGGGUAGCAGGAAUUCCCAGUGUAGCGGUGAAAUGCGUAGAGAUUGGGAAGAACAUCGGUGGCGAAAGCGUGCUACUGGGCUGUAUCUGACACUCAGGGACGAAAGCUAGGGGAGCGAAAGGGAUUAGAUACCCCUGUAGUCA
rnacentral:rRNA from 1 species